CCUACGGGUGACAGCAGUGAGGAAUAUUGGUCAAUGGGAGAGAUCCUGAACCAGCCAAGCCGCGUGAGGGAAGACGGCCCUAUGGGCUGUAAACCCCUUUUGUCGGAGAACAAAACCCGGGACGUGUCCCGGCCUGCGUGUAUCCGAAGAAAAAGCAUCGGCUAACUCCGUGCCAGCAGCCGCGGUAAUACGGAGGAUGCGAGCGUUAUCCGGAUUUAUUGGGUUUAAAGGGUGCGUAGGCGGUCCGUUAAGUCAGCGGUAAAAUGGCGGGGCUCAACCCCGUCGAGCCGUUGAAACUGGCAGACUUGAGUGUGCGAGAAGUACGCGGAAUGCGCGGUGUAGCGGUGAAAUGCAUAGAUAUCGCGCAGAACUCCGAUUGCGAAGGCAGCGUACCGGCGCCAGACUGACGCUGAGGCACGAAAGCGUGGGGAUCGAACAGGAUUAGAUACCCGAGUAGUC
rnacentral:rRNA from 1 species